ACAACAUCAUCAUCAACCCGAAACCAAAAUCCUCCAUCAAACCCAAAUCCGAAAUCCAGAAGCAAAUCAUUCAUCAUUCAUUCAAACCAAAACGGAACCAACCUAAAUCAUUCCAACAACAAUCAAAAACCCAGAACCAUCAAAACAUCAAAUCCAACCGGAACUAAAAUAACUCAGAAUCAAGACCAAAUACCACCAAGGUCACGAAUCCAGAACAAGAUCAAAGAAAAAGGUUGAACUUCUUUCUCUUUUAAGCGCCGGAACUGUUUUUUUUUCUUUCUUUUUCCGAUCUAGGACGUUUGGUUUAGAUUUAGAGGGGUUAGGCCGCCAGAGCCGCCGCCGGAAUCGCUCCGACGCGGUGGCUCACGGCGGCUACCGAUGAAUCUUCAUCGGAGAGGUUGAACCCUAGCAGAGAAUAGAAGAGAAGGAAGAGAGUUUUAUGAAUUUUUUUUAGGGUUUGAGGGUAUUUAUACCCCAACCCGAUCCGGUGUGCGCAUGUCCAUUGCAGCACACCAUACACCUUCUCUUCUCAGCCUUUGAUUUCAUCACUUGGCUUAGAUCUUGUCUUUUUACUUUUAGAUCAGAGCCGUCUGAUCCAUCAGACGGUCGUGAUUGAUCCUGCGUUUUUUCUUGUUUUUUUGUUUGGUAAAGAGGCCUAUUCUGGACUGGGCCUUAUUGUUCUGUUCAUUCUUUGCACCCCAUUCCUGCUAUUUACACUCCUGUUAGAAUGUGAUUAGGAAAUUUGUAAUUAUAAAUAAAAUUUGCAUUGCAUAUGUAUGGUUGCAUUCAUUCAUAUUUAUUUAUUGAAGUUUAGAAUGUAAUUAGGAUUUAUAAUGUAAUUGCAUUGCAUGCAUUUUAUUUAUUACGCUUUAUGCCGUGCUUGCGAUCCAACGUCGCUUCAA